GACGAACGCUGGCGGCGUGCCUAAUACAUGCAAGUAGGACGCAGUUGCGAACGGGUGAGUAACGCGUAGGUAACUACCUAUUAGAGGGGGCUAACUAUUGGAAACGAUAGCUACUACCGCAUACUAGUAGAUGGACCUGCGUUGUAUUAGCUAGUAGGGAGGGGAAUGGCCUACCUAGGCAACGAUACAUAGCCGACCUGAGUGGGUGAGCGGGCACACUGUGAAUGAGAAACGGCCCAGACUCCUACGGGAGGUAGCAGUAGUGAAGUUUCGGCAAGUGGGGGAACCCUUACCGAGCAUAGCCGCGUGAGUGAAGAAGGUUUUCGGAGCGGAAAGCUAUGUUGUUAAGGAAGCGGUACUUAACCAGAAAGGGACGGCUAACUACGUGCCAGCAGCCGCGGUAAUAC
rnacentral:rRNA from 1 species